rnacentral:rRNA from 1 species
AAGGAAUAUUGGACAAUGCCCGCAAGGGUGAUCCAGCCAUGCCGCGUGCAGGAAGACGGACCUAUGGUUUGUAAACUGCUUUUGAACAAGAGAAAACCCCCUUACGUGUAAGGGGCUGAUAGUAUUGUUAGAAUAAGCAUCGGCUAACUUCGUGCCAGCAGCCGCGGUAAGACGAAGGAUGCAAGCGUUACCCGGAUUCAUUGGGUUUAAAGGGAGCGUAGGCGGCUUGAUAAGUCAGUGGUGAAAUCUUCUCGCUUAACGAGAAAACUGCCAUUGAUACUGUCAAGCUUGAGUACAGUUGCCGUUGGCGGAAUAUGACAUGUAGUGGUGAAAUACAUAGAGAUGUCAUAGAACACCGAUUGCGAAGGCAGCUAACGAAACUGUAACUGACGCUGAGGCUCGAAAGUGCGGGGAUCAAAC